rnacentral:rRNA from 1 species
AACGACUCUCGGCAACGGAUAUCUCGGCUCUCGCAUCGAUGAAGAACGUAGCGAAAUGCGAUACUUGGUGUGAAUUGCAGAAUCCCGUGAACCAUCGAGUCUUUGAACGCAAGUUGCGCCCAAAGCCGUCAGGCUAAGGGCACGUCUGCUUGGGUGUCACGC